rnacentral:lncRNA from 1 species
UCCUCUUCAAACUUCCUGAUAAUUUCUUUGCUCUGUAGAAAACAUUUAUUAUGUGAACUAUAAAAGAAGCAAGGUAAGAAAGAGAUUAUUUACAAUCUGUUUUCUCUGUGUCCGUGACAAAUCAUAUCAAAUGUUAAAAUCUUUAAAUAUUCAAAAAGUGACCUACACCACCAUAAAUAUCAUUUUAAAAAGUGUUUAACCAUGCACAAUUUGCCAGAAGGUUUUACAUGUAUAAUGUGGGCAGAAUAUGGAAAAAGAAAUCAAUGACGUAUAUCAUGUAGCUUAUAUCUAAGACGCUAGUACUUGUAGUAAUAUAAAUCAUUGGACAAGUUUCGUUUCUGUGCAUACUGCCAAGGGGCCAAGUGAGCUUUUCUCGUCACUUGGUGUCCGGCGUCCGUCGUUCGUCGUCGUCCUGCGUCCGUCGUAGUUAACUUUUACAAAAAUCUUCUCCUCUGAAACUACUUGGCCAAAUUUGCCCAAACUUGGCCAUAAUCAUCAUUGGGGUAUCUAGUUUAGAAAAUGUGUCCGGUGACCAAUCCAACCAACCAAGAUGGCCGCCAUGGCUAAAAAUAGAACAUAGGGGUAAAAUGUGGGUUUUGGCUUAUAUAUAUAUGAAACAGAAGCAUUUAGAGCAAAUCUGACAUGAUGUAGAAUUGUUCAUAAGGUCCAGAUCUAUCUACCCUGAAAAUUUCAGAUAAAUCGGACAACUUGUUGUUGGGUUGCUGACCCUGAAUUGGUAAUUGUAAGGAAAUUUUGUCGUUUUUUGAUAUUAUCUUGAAUAUUAUUAUAGAUAGAGAUAAACUGUAAACAGCAAUAAUGUUCAGCAAAGUAAGAUCUACAAAAAAGUCAACAUGACCAAAAUGGUCAGUUGACUCCUUAAGGAGUUAUUGCCCUUUAUAGUAAUUUUUUAACAAUUUUUGUAAAUUUUUGUUAUCUUUUACAAAAAUCUUCUCCUCUGAAACUAGUCAGACAAAUUUGCCCAAUCUUGUCCACAAUCAUCAUUAUGGUAUCUAGUUUAAAAAAUGUGUCCGAUAACCUGGCCAACCUACCAAGAUGUCUGCCAUGGCUAAAAAUAGAACGCAGGGGUGAAAUGUAUAUUUUGGCUUAUAUCUUUGAAACCAAAGCAAGUAGAGUAAAUCUGAUAUGGGGUAAAUUUGUUGAUCAGGUCAACAUCUAUCUGCCCUGAAAUUUUCAGACGACUCUGACAACCUGUUGUUGGGUUGCAGGGGUGUGGAAAUAUUUGUUGUGAGCACUUGUCCCUGGGCAAGUCAAACUGUAAAUUUUACUUGUCCGGAAAAAAAGUUACUUGCCCUGAUGGUCCCAAUAAAUAUUGAAGUAUUUCAUUGUUAGCUAAUAUAUGAUUCUUAGCACUUUUUUGCAUCACAAACAAAUGGAAUCCAUUUGUUUAUAUUGUACCGGUAAAACUUUAGGAACGUAGGAAAUGGGUUAACAUCAAUGGGACAGAAACCAAUCAAUGAGAUAACAUGCAGAGGACGAUUUACAGCAGUUUGUAUAAAAAUUGUAGCCAGUAGGUACAUAUACUAAUUUAAGAGGACAGUUAAUGAACAUGGUGAAGUUUUGGUGUUUCAACUGACACACGUUUUUUAUUCUUCUUUCAAAAUUGUCUUGAGGGGCAAUUCAAUCAUCUCUUCUAUUUACCACUUUGACAACAAAUGAUGCUGACCUGUCUUCUAUAAUAAGAUAACAAAUUAUUUAUUUUACGAAUUUCCAUCCAAGAUAGCAGGCAAUCUAAAAUACACGAUGUCUGAAAUUCUCUUCGAAUCUUUUUAAAAUAGUGUUCUUCUCCAUCUGCGUUUUAGGUUUUCUACUCGACUCAAACUCUUUUUCUUCUGACCGGGUCUUUAAUAUCAAUAUUUAUCAAUCUGACUGUCGAUACAAAAACUAAAGAAAUGAUACUUCCGAUGAAUAAUGGAUAAAACAUAAUCGACGAUCCCGGCUGAAUGGACAAAGGUCAAUGCAAUGUUACGCGAGUCGGGUUCGCAUACCUAUUUUUGUUUUAUCAAUUUCGUUAUCGAUCUAUUUCCGGUAUUAUGUUACUAAUAUUUAUCGUCUGGUCAUUGGUGUUUUUACUCGCUGACUAUUGGUUUCUUUACAUAAAUUAAACAUCUUCAUACGUUUUGGAAUUAAUUCUAUAUUUUUGUUUGAUUUGAACUUUGUUUGUAUAUUCUUUUUUGUCCACGGCAACGAGACAAAAAUACUUACUUGUCCGGUUUGUUCAAAUGUACGAGUCGGGAGUCGUGGCAUAGCAUUUCCACACCCCUGGGUUGCAGACCCUGAAUUGGUAUUUUAGUAAAAUUUUGCAGCUUUGAUUAUUUAUCUAAUUUUAGAUAGAGAUAAACUGUAAACAGCAAUAAUGUUCAGCAAAGUAAGAUCUACAAAUAAGUCAACAUGACCAAAAAUUGUCAGAGGACCCUUAAGAGUUUAUUGCCUUUUAUAGUCAAUAUUGAACAACUUUUCGUCAUUUUUGUAAUUGUACAAAAAUUUCUUUUCUAAAAACUAUGGGCCAAAUUUAACCAAACUUGGCCACAACAUUACUAGGUACUAUUUAAAAAAUGUGUCUUAUGAGUCCGCCUACCAACCAAGAUGGCUGCCAUCAGUAAAUAUAGUAACAGGUGGGCGACACAGGCUCUUGAGAGCCUCUAGUUUUUUAAUGUAAAUCCCUCCACUGUGAGCACAUACAUGCCAUAUAGCUGAAUGUGUUAAUAACGGAAACGGAGGAAAAAUACAUUAAUCCAUAAUUAAAAUGCAGCAUACAAGCUUUAUUAUUUCUACAUCAUUUAUGUGUAUUGUAUUAAUGUAUGUCUUGUAUCUUCCUCCUUUAAUAGGAGCACCACCAUGGGUUAUUGUGUAGAUUAAAUAUUGUCCGCCAUGAAAUUAUGUCCAUGGGACACUUUUUCACAAUAAAUUGUGUCCCAAGGAUAUAAUUUUGUUUUAAAAUAUUGUCUGGACGAUAGUUACCUAUAAAAUAACAGUCGAGGGUGCAACUUUAAUAAGUUAUCAGAGAAAAAUAACAUACACAAAGACAAACAAAAAUCUACAGGACAAAGAUUUACAAAAAGGUCAACAAGGCUAAAAUUCUGUCAACUCCUUAUUGCUCUAAAAAACAACAAUGUUUACCCUUUCUUAAGUUCAAUUUGUUUAUAAACAAUAUUUGAUAGAGAGAAACUGAAGUAAAGAAAUAAAGAUCAACAUGACAAGAUCUACAAAUAAGAUAAAAUGAUUGUUUGUACAGGUCAGAGUUAUCUUUCUUUGUACUUGUGUUUAUAGUAUUUUAUGAUUGUGUUUCGUAUGGUCUUUAUAUGAGACAAAGUUAUUUUGAUGAUGUCACCUUAAACCUUUGAUAAAGAAUCUACAUAUCUUUACAACCGAGUGCUUGUUAUACUCAUGCCUAUUUCCACCCGGUUUCAUAUCAACAUCAUUGGAGCCUCUACUCUAGUUACUAUCACCAUAUCAUUUUCAUGUUUCAGUGACAUCUUUGUUUUUUGCAGGAACACAUGAACCAUUAAGUAACAAUGAUAUAGGUUUCUAUUGUAAAGCCAAUCUGAAAUCAUGGCGUCUCUUUCUGAAGAAGAGGAGAAUUAUGUCCGGUUAGCCUUGUUAUUAAAAGGAGUGACACCUAGAGCAGUCCGUACUUAUUUUGACAGAGAAUUUCCACCUACCUCUCUACCCUCAACA